rnacentral:rRNA from 1 species
AUUGAACGCUGGCGGAAUGCUUUACACAUGCAAGUCGAACGGCAGCACGGGUGCUUGCACCUGGUGGCGAGUGGCGAACGGGUGAGUAAUACAUCGGAACGUACCCAGUUGUGGGGGAUAACUAACCGAAAGGUUAGCUAAUACCGCAUACGACCUGAGGGUGAAAGCGGGGGACCGUAAGGCCUCGCGCAAUUGGAGCGGCCGAUGUCUGAUUAGCUAGUUGGUAGGGUAAAGGCCUACCAAGGCGACGAUCAGUAGCUGGUCUGAGAGGAUGAUCAGGCACACUGGAACUGAGACACGGUCCAGACUCCGACGGGAGGCAGCAGUGGGGAAUUUUGGACAAUGGGCGAAAGCCUGAUCCAGCCAUUCCGCGUGAGUGAAGAAGGCCUUCGGGUUGUAAAGCUCUUUCGGCAGGGAAGAAACGGCCUAGGUUAAUACCUUGGGCUAAUGACGGUACCUGAAGAAGAAGCACCGGCUAACUACGUGCCAGCAGCCGCAGUAA